CACAAGCGGUGGAUGAUGUGGAUUAAUUCGAUGCAACGCGAAAACCUUACCUACCCUUGACAUGUCCGGAAUCCUGCAGAGAUGCGGGAGUGCCCGAAAGGGAAUCGGAACACAGGUGCUGCAUGGCUGUCGUCAGCUCGUGUCGUGAGAUGUUGGGUUAAGUCCCGCAACGAGCGCAACCCUUAUCAUUAGUUGCUACGCAAGGGCACUCUAAUGAGACUGCCGGUGACAAACCGGAGGAAGGUGGGGAUGACGUCAAGUCCUCAUGGCCCUUAUGGGUAGGGCUUCACACGUCAUACAAUGGUCGGUACAGAGGGUUGCCAAGCCGCGAGGCGGAGCCAAUCCCACAAAGCCGAUCGUAGUCCGGAUUGUUCUCUGCAACUCGAGAGCAUGAAGUCGGAAUCGCUAGUAAUCGCAGGUCAGCAUACUGCGGUGAAUACGUUCCCGGGUCUU
rnacentral:rRNA from 1 species